rnacentral:rRNA from 1 species
UGGUGGAGUACUCUGUCUUCUUGAUUGAGAUAACGAACGAGACCUUGACCUGCUAAAUAGAAAUUAUGACAAUAAUUGUUGUAAUUUACUUCUUAGAGGGACUGAUCGCAAGAAGCGAUUGGAGGAACGAGGCGAUAACA